CAAUAGCGUAUAUUAAAGUUGUUGCAGUUAAAAAGCUCGUAGUUGGAUUUCUGAUCGAGACAUCAGGUCGGGUCCGAGAGGAUCAUGUACUUUGAUUUUGUUUUGAUCAUCCUUGGGGAGAGCAUUUCUGGCAUUCAGUUGUCGGGAUUGGGAUCCUCAUCGUUUACUGUGAAAAAAUUAGAGUGUUCAAAGCAGGCCUCGGCCUCUGAAUACAUUAGCAUGGAAUAAUAAGAUAGGACUUUGGUGGUCUAUUUUGUUGGUUUGCACGCCAAAGUAAUGAUUAAUAGGGAUAGUUGGGGGUAUUCGUAUUCAAUUGUCAGAGGUGAAAUUCUUGGAUUUAUGAAAGACGAACUACUGCGAAAGCAUUUGCCAAGGAUGUUUUCAUUAA
rnacentral:rRNA from 1 species